ACACACAUCUGCACAUACACAAGUCAACUCACAUACACACAUACAAAUGCAAUCAUAAAUGCACAAUUACAGAUAUGCAUACACAGAUAGAAGAAUGAAUACUUAUAGCUCCAUAUAUGCAAAAAUACACAGACAUACUUAAAGACACACAUGUACAAAUCUACUAAUACAUAUAUAUACACACACACACACACACACACACAUACAUAUAUAUAUAUAUAUAUAUCUAGAUAGAUAUCUUUAUAUAUAUAUAUAUAUAUCAGGGGCGUGCACUCUCAAAUAUGCAAGAUAUGCACUGCAUGCUCUAUGAUUUUUAAUCCAUAUCAUCGGAAAAUUACAUAAAAUAGUUGCUUUGUUCCAAAGAAAAUCUGUCCAGGUGUUUUCGAAAUAUUCUGCCUCCCCUCCCCCUCUCUGAGUGACUUGUACGUCUGCUUUGAGAAGACCCACGUGACAGACACCCCCUCUCUGUCUUUUUGUUAGUAUAUAAUUGUUGCUAACAGCAAUCCCAUAAUUCCUCAGUUAGACAGCUGACAUGGUGGAAGAACUUGGCGGAGCACAGGGAGGAAGCUAGCUUCCACACAGAAUGAAGCUUGGAUCCACAGAAAAUAUUUAACUGUAUUUACAAACAAUGUGUACACACAACAAUGCGACAACAUUUAUUUUAUAUUGUAACGACAUUAUAAUUUAUAUCAAAUAAAUGGCUAUCUUCAUAAUUAA